rnacentral:rRNA from 1 species
UACGGGGGGAGCAAGCGUUGUUCGGAUUUACUGGGCGUAAAGGGCGCGUAGGCGGCCACCGCAAGUCGACUGUGAAAUCUCCGGGCUUAACCCGGAAAGGUCAGCCGAUACUGCGGGGCUAGAGUGCAGAAGGGGCAACUGGGAAUUCUCGGUGUAGCGGUGAAAUGCGUAGAUAUCGAGAGGAACACCUGCGGCGAAGGCGGGUUGCUGGGCUGACACUGACGCUGAUGCGCGAAAGCUAGGGGAGCGAACGGG